UAAGUAGACCGCCUGGGGAGUACGGCCGCAAGGUUAAAACUCAAAUGAAUUGACGGGGGCCCGCACAAGCGGUGGAGCAUGUGGUUUAAUUCGAUGCAACGCGAAGAACCUUACCUGGUCUUGACAUCCACGGAAGUUUUCAGAGAUGAGAAUGUGCCUUCGGGAACCGUGAGACAGGUGCUGCAUGGCUGUCGUCAGCUCGUGUUGUGAAAUGUUGGGUUAAGUCCCGCAACGAGCGCAACCCUUAUCCUUUGUUGCCAGCGAUUAGGUCGGGAACUCAAAGGAGACUGCCAGUGAUAAACUGGAGGAAGGUGGGGAUGACGUCAAGUCAUCAUGGCCCUUACGACCAGGGCUACACACGUGCUACAAUGGCGCAUACAAAGAGAAGCGACCUCGCGAGAGCAAGCGGACCUCAUAAAGUGCGUCGUAGUCCGGAUUGGAGUCUGCAACUCGACUCCAUGAAGUCGGAAUCGCUAGUAAUCGUGGAUCAGAAUGCCACGGUGAAUACGUUCCCGGGCCUUGUACACACCGCCCGUCACACCAUGGGAGUGGGUUGCAAAAGAAGUAGGUAGCUUAACCUUCGGGAGGGCGCUUACCACUUUGUGAUUCAUGACUGGGGUGAAGUCGUAACAAGGUAACCGUAGGGGAACCUG
rnacentral:rRNA from 1 species